UACGAAGGGGGCUAGCGUUGUUCGGAUUUACUGGGCGUAAAGCGCGCGCAGGCGGUCUUCCAAGUCAGUGGUGAAAGCCUGGAGCUCAACUCCAGAACUGCCAUUGAAACUGUUAGACUUGAGUACGAGAGAGGUGAGUGGAAUUCCCAGUGUAGAGGUGAAAUUCGUAGAUAUUGGGAAGAACACCAGUGGCGAAGGCGGCUCACUGGCCCGAUACUGACGCUGAGGCACGAAAGCGUGGGGAGCAAACAGG
rnacentral:rRNA from 1 species